UUAAAUUGAAGAGUUUGAUCAUGGCUCAGAUUGAACGCUGGCGGCAGGCCUAACACAUGCAAGUCGAACGGUAACAGGAAACAGCUUGCUGUUUCGCUGACGAGUGGCGGACGGGUGAGUAAUGUCUGGGAAACUGCCUGAUGGAGGGGGAUAACUACUGGAAACGGUAGCUAAUACCGCAUAACGUCGCAAGACCAAAGAGGGGGACCUUCGGGCCUCUUGCCAUCGGAUGUGCCCAGAUGGGAUUAGCUAGUAGGUGGGGUAACGGCUCACCUAGGCGACGAUCCCUAGCUGGUCUGAGAGGAUGACCAGCCACACUGGAACUGAGACACGGUCCAGACUCCUACGGGAGGCAGCAGUGGGGAAUAUUGCACAAUGGGCGCAAGCCUGAUGCAGCCAUGCCGCGUGUAUGAAGAAGGCCUUCGGGUUGUAAAGUACUUUCAGCGGGGAGGAAGGGAGUAAAGUUAAUACCUUU
rnacentral:rRNA from 1 species